rnacentral:rRNA from 1 species
UACGGGGGGGGGUAAGCGUUGUUCGGAAUUACUGGGCGUAAAGGGCUCGUAGGUGGCCAACUAAGUCAUACGUGAAAUCCCUCGGCUUAACCGGGGAACUGCGUCUGAUACUGGAUGGCUUGAGGUUGGGAGAGGGAUGCGGAAUUCCAGGUGUAGCGGUGAAAUGCGUAGAUAUCUGGAGGAACACCGGUGGCGAAGGCGGCAUCCUGGACCGAGAUCGACGCUGAUGCGCGAAAGCCAGGGGAGCAAACGGG